GUGCCAGCCGCCGCGGUAAUACGAAGGGGGCUAGCGUUGCUCGGAAUUACUGGGCGUAAAGGGAGCGUAGGCGGACGAUUAAGUUGGGGGUGAAAUCCCAGGGCUCAACCCUGGAACUGCCUCCAAAACUGGUCGUCUUGAGUAUGGGAGAGGUAUGCGGAACUCCGAGUGUAGAGGUGAAAUUCGUAGAUAUUCGGAAGAACACCAGUGGCGAAGGCGGCAUACUGGCCCAUUACUGACGCUGAGGCUCGAAAGCGUGGGGAGCAAACAGGAUUAGAAACCCGCGUAGUCC
rnacentral:rRNA from 1 species